rnacentral:misc_RNA from 1 species
UAGUUUCAGCCAACAAGCCUGGGCAUGCAGCUCUCCGACCGCGCCAGCGGGUUCUGGCGGCCGCCGCCACCACCGUCCUCCUCUCCCUCGCACCUCGGACUCCCCGGCAGAGACUGUAUCCCUCUCUGUGAGAUACUCCGCCGCAGAUGCUGCCUCAUAGCAGCAAUGAGCCGCUCCGCCGGACUUGGCGAACUGCGAAAACUCUCUGAAAAGCUCAUGUGCCGCCUCAGAGCCUCCUCCGUCGAUAUCAACCUCCCAGAUCGGCACAUCUCGUCCUUCACCGCCUCCGAGCACAGCCCGCAGAUCCACCGCCCAGCAUAUCGCUCCCGAACUCUCGCUAUAUAACCCGGCGUGCAGUCCUCCUUCAGGCCACAGCAGUCACAGGUUGCCGACUCCACCUCUACAGCCGUAUUCUCCGCUGUCGACAUCGUCUCCAAAAU